UAGGGAAUCUUCGGCAAUGGGGGGAACCCUGACCGAGCAACGCCGCGUGAGUGAAGAAGGUUUUCGGAUCGUAAAGCUCUGUUGUUAAGGAAGAACGAGUGUGAGAAUGGAAAGUUCAUACUGUGACGGUACUUAACCAGAAAGGGACGGCUAACUACGUGCCAGCAGCCGCGGUAAUACGUAGGUCCCGAGCGUUGUCCGGAUUUAUUGGGCGUAAAGCGAGCGCAGGCGGUUAGAUAAGUCUGAAGUUAAAGGCAGUGGCUCAACCAUUGUAGGCUUUGGAAACUGUUUAACUUGAGUGCAGAAGGGGAGAGUGGAAUUCCAUGUGUAGCGGUGAAAUGCGUAGAUAUAUGGAGGAACACCGGUGGCGAAAGCGGCUCUCUGGUCUGUAACUGACGCUGAGGCUCGAAAGCGUGGGGAGCGAACAGGAUUAGAUACCCUGGUAGUCCACGCCGCAACGAUGAGUGCUAGGUGUUAGGGCUUUUCGGGACUUAGUGCCGCAGCUAACGCAUUAAGCACUCCGCCUGGGGAGUACGACCGCAAGGUU
rnacentral:rRNA from 1 species